GUGCUCGCUUCAGCAGCAUAUAUACUAAAAUUGGAAUGAUACAGAGAUUAGCAUGGUUCCUGCACAAGGAUGACACCCAAAUUUGUGAAGUGUUCCAUAUUUUU